rnacentral:rRNA from 1 species
GAUGAACGCUGGCGGCGUGCCUAAUACAUGCAAGUCGAGCGGACGGACAGUAAGCUUUCUUUUCUACUGUUAGCGGCGGGCGGAUGGGUAAGACGUGCAUAACCUACUUCUAAUACUGGGGUAAUUUCGGGAAACCGCUUCCACUACUGGCUCAUAUUUUCUACCGCAUGGUUCAAAAGUGCAUGACGCCCUUCCUGUCUCUUAUAGAUGGAUCCGCGUUGCAUUAGCUAGUUGGUAAGGUAACGGCUUACCAAGGCGACGAUGCAUAGCCGAUCUGAGAGGAUGAUCGGCCACACUGGAACUGAGACACGGUCCAGACUCCUACGGGAGGCAGCAGUAGGGAAUAUUGGGCAAUGGGCGAAAGCCUGAUGGAGCAACGCCGCGUGAGUGAUGAAGGUCUUCGGAUCGUAAAACUCUGUUAUUAGGGAAGAAAAUAUGUGUAAGAAACUGUCGCCGUCUUGACGGUACCUAAUGAGAAAGCACCGGCUAACUUCGUG